rnacentral:rRNA from 1 species
ACUCCUACGGGAGGCAGCAGUAGGAAGUCUUCCGACAAUGGCGCAAGCCUGAUGGAGCAACACCGCGUGAGUGAAGAAGGGUUUCGGCUCGUAAAGCUCUGUUGUUAAAGAAGAACACGUAUGAGAGUAACUGUUCAUACGUUGACGGUAUUUAACCAGAAAGUCACGGCUAACUACGUGCCAGCAGCCGCGGUAAUACGUAGGUGGCAAGCGUUAUCCGGAUUUAUUGGGCGUAAAGAGAGUGCAGGCGGUUUUCUAAGUCUGAUGUGAAAGCCUUCGGCUUAACCGGAGAAGUGCAUCGGAAACUGGAUAACUUGAGUGCAGAAGAGGGUAGUGGAACUCCAUGUGUAGCGGUGGAAUGCGUAGAUAUAUGGAAGAACACCAGUGGCGAAGGCGGCUACCUGGUCUGCAACUGACGCUGAGACUCGAAAGCAUGGGUAGCGAACAGGAUUAGAUACCCUGGUAGGAUAGCG